CCUACGGGAGGCAGCAGUAAGGAAUAUUGGUCAAUGGAGGCAACUCUGAACCAGCCAUGCCGCGUGCAGGAAGAAGGCCCUAUGGGUCGUAAACUGCUUUUGUACCAGAGAAAACCCGAGUACGUGUACUCGGUUGAUAGUAUGGUAAGAAUAAGCAUCGGCUAACUUCGUGCCAGCAGCCGCGGUAAGACGAAGGAUGCAAGCGUUAUCCGGAUUCAUUGGGUUUAAAGGGUGCGUAGGCGGACUGAUAAGUCAGUGGUGAAAUCUCUCAGCUUAACUGAGAAACUGCCAUUGAUACUGUUAGUCUAGAGUAUAGAUGACGUUGGCGGAAUAUGACAUGUAGUGGUGAAAUACUUAGAUAUGUCAUAGAACACCGAUUGCGAAGGCAGCUAACGAAACUAUAAACUGACGCUGAGGCACGAAAGUGCGGGGAUCAAACAGGAUUAGAUACCCUGGUAGUCCGCACCGUAAACGAUANAUACUCGUUGUUGUCAUAUGACGUCGAGCGACCGACGACGAAGACGAGUAAGUAAGUACCGUACCGUUACGGGUUAGGUACGGUUACCGGCCGAACGGUUACGGAACGUUACGAACGAGUUAGUUAGGACGGACGAGGAGACGCGACGGACGACGACGACGGAGGAGGUAG
rnacentral:rRNA from 1 species